rnacentral:tRNA from 1 species
GCGGUCGUGGUGAAAUGGUAGACACGCAAGUUUGAGGUGCUUGUGGGGGCGACCCUGUGACGGUUCAAGUCCGUCCGACCGCACCA